GUAGGUGGCAAGCGUUGUCCGGAAUUAUUGGGCGUAAAGCGCGCGCAGGCGGUUCUUUAAGUCUGAUGUGAAAGCCCACGGCUCAACCGUGGAGGGACAUUGGAAACUGGAGAACUUGAGUACAGAAGAGGAAAGCGGAAUUCCACGUGUAGCGGUGAAAUGCGUAGAGAUGUGGAGGAACACCAGUGGCGAAGGCGGCUUUCUGGUCUGUAACUGACGCUGAGGCGCGAAAGCGUGGGGAGCAAACAGGAUUAGAUACCCUGGUAGUCCACGCCGUAAACGAUGAGUGCUAAGUGUUAGGGGGUUUCCGCCCCCCUUAGUGCUGCAGCUAACGCAUUAAGCACUCCGCCUGGGAGUACGGCCGCAAGGCUG
rnacentral:rRNA from 1 species